CGAUAGCUUGUCUUUUUAUCAUUUUCCCCUACACUCUCUUCAUGUAGCUACCCUGUUGUGCAUCACACUGUAUUUUUCACCGGUAAUUACUGUGUAGAUUUGGGUGGUAGUUAUACUGUAAAUUACAUAGUAAUUUGACCGAUAAUUUCUGUGAAAUUAUAGUGUAAUCCUAUCCCAUGAUUUACUGUCUAGUUCGACCGAUGUUUACUCUGUAGUCCGAUGCCCCUUUUUACACAGUAAUUUGACUGAUUUUUUACUGUGUAAUUUGUGUGGUAGUUACACUGUAAUCUGUUGCGAUUUUGCACAGUAUUUUUUACCCCAUAAUAACUGUGUAAUUUAUAUGCUAGUUACGCUGUAAUCUAAUGCAUUUUUGCACUAUAAUUUCUCCCGUAUUCUAUUUCUAUAAUUUGCAUGCUAGUCACCCUAUGAUUUAUGCAUGACUGGCCUGGCAGUUCACCCCUGUUUAUUGUGCAGCCCUGCAGUCUUUAAUGUUUUUGUUGAAAUCUGAAUGAUCCCAUGACUUCUGUUCAUCUAUUUUCUGAACCUUACUAAGCAGUCAAUGGAUAAGUUUGUGCAGUCUUGAUUUUUGUGAAACGUUUGUGGUGCUUUUUGACCACUCAUGUGUGGUGGCUGAUGCUUGAUCUGGGAGUUAGACCCAGUAAACUAGUCAUAUGUUUUUGGCAGCAGAUGCUCUUGCUUCUGUGAAUUACUACUUCAGAAGUUCUUUGGGAAUUUGUCUGUCAAUUUUGGUUCUGCUAAUAACUCUUGAGAUUUUGUCUUCCUAGUUUGUUCAAUAUCACCAUUACUGUGUAUCUAGUGGCGUGAGGCUUGUAAAAUAUCUAUACAUCACGUUUUCUCUGUAAAAUAUCUAUACAUCACGUUUUCUGCUGAAGGUUGUUUUGUCGUCUGCAUCCAAUUCACAAGCCUGCUGCCUUUGCACUGUAAUAUGCUGCGCUUUUGCUCUAUAACUGUGUAAUUUGUAUGCUAGUUACACUGUAAUCUGAUGCGUUUUUACACUAUAAUUUUUCCUGUAUUUAUUGUGUAAUUUGUAUGCUAGUCAGCCUGUAAUUUCUCUUAUGUAUAUUUUGAGGCCCAUUUUUUUCUCUCUAUUGUUUUUCAGGUAGUAUCUCAAUGAGUACACUGCGGAAAGUCUGUCGCAAGGAUGUUCCCCUACUUUCUUCACUUGAGAGCGCUGAUUCUUUGAACGACCCUUAUGUGCCUAAUGAUUUUGCUGACGAUGGUUCUAGUGCUAUGUCUUUGGGUUGUCCUGGUGAUGAUGAAGAGUUUGAUAAAGCACUUUACAAUUUCUAUGUGAAUAAUUCAAGUACCUGAAGAGAAAAUUAUCAUCUGCUGGCAGAAAAAAUGUUUGUAAUCCCGUCAGGUGCUUUUGACGGGUCAAGGAAAGGACAGUAGGCGCGACUAGUUCAACCAUUCUGUCGAUGUUAGUCGCUUGACGGGUCACAAAUACAGCCCGACCCGUUUUCUUCAGGAAAAACAGACAUACAACUGUCUAACAGAUUAUUGGUUGGAAAAUUUGAAUGAUAACCAAUUACAAAUCAGUCGAUUGUUGAAUGGACAGUCCCAAGAAGAAACAAGUAUAGUAGUACAACUUUGUCGAUUGAAAAGGUAUAUCUGAACGUUACUUUUCAAUUUUUGUGCACCGUACAUUGUGUUGGACAGAGUGUCAAAUGUCUUGAUGCACUUCUCGCUGUAUCACAUUUCAAGAUUAGCAUCCACAAUAGCUAAUAGUUUUGACACGUAGCAACCUAGUACGAAC